CUACAAAAGAACACUAAUUAGGAUGAACAAUUAUAUAAUCAUACUAAUUAGGAUGAAUAAUUAUAUAAAGAAUACUAUUAAUGAAAACAAGUUUUUUCAGAUAUAAAGUCACUCCAUGUGACAUGUUAUGGCUGACAUGAUUUGCCACCAGGUUUAUGAAUAUUUAAUGAGUAUUUUAAAUUAAUUUAAUUAAGAGAUACAUUCACUUACACAACUUAAAAUUUUCCCCCGGGAUGUCUUUUGCCAUAUUUUGUUCCAUAUGGUGGGGGCAUUUGUCUGUUUUGGUACACUAUUCAAAGCCAAUUAAUCCCCGCCUAUAUCCCGGGUGGGCUUUACUUUUACUGGUGCAUUACAUGUAAUGCACAAGUCAAUUCCUGAGACAUAAUUCCGAUAGACAGUUCACAGGGGUCGAGAAUUUGCCUGUCAUAUACGUGCACCGGGGCUGGGUAUUGUUAUAGUAGCUGAGUCCCAGGGAUUUGACAAAUGGUUUCGCUUAAAUUGCGAAAAUUAUUAGCUGUAUGUGCCAUGCAAAUUUAAAUACAAUUAUUAAAGGUUUAUGAUUUCGUUGUUUAAAUCCUUUUAUUAACCACUCUCAGCAAGAUUAAAGUUGUAUAGUAUUCCAUAGCAGUUUAAUAGUAUAAUGUUAUUAAAUGACUAUGCCUAUGAUAUGCCAUUAAAAUUUGCCACUCUCAGCUUGCCCAAGGGUACCCUGCUGGCAGUGGUUUCUGAGGGUCAUGCAUUAGUCUCCUAGUUGUGUCCCUG
rnacentral:lncRNA from 1 species